CCUGGUUGCUGCUGGCUUCCUCAGGGUGUUCCCUCCUGGGUCAGAUCACAUGGACCAGAGGAGACAGAGGAGUCCAAAGUCUGGGAAGGCUCACGGAAGCAGAAAACGACCUCGGGCACCUGGGACUGCGUGCAAUGGAAGGCUGGCAUCUCCCUAUCCUUAUGCUCUGUCUCCUGUUCUGCGAGGUUUCUGUUGCUGUGUAUAAGCAGUGGAUUCCAAACACCAAUUUUGAAGAUGCUUCCAACUGGGACAAAAACCGAACUCCAAGCGAGACUGACAUUGUCAUGUUUGACAGCAAUAAGGUGGUCUCUGUAUAUGUUGCGAGCGCUCACAUUCUCACAGGCGCAGUAAGUAUAGCACUUUGUUAGGGGUGCCCAGUGCAUCCUCUCUUGGGCUAACACCGUGCUGGUG
rnacentral:lncRNA from 1 species